GACGGGACCGCACAAGCGGUGGAUGAUGUGGAUAAUUCGAUGCAACGCGAAAACCUUACUACCCUUGACAUGUCCGGAAUCCCGAAGAGAUUUGGGAGUGCUCGCAAGAGAACCGGAACACAGGUGCUGCAUGGCUGUCGUCAGCUCGUGUCGUGAGAUGUUGGGUUAAGUCCCGCAACGAGCGCAACCCUUGUCAUUAGUUGCCAUCAUUUGGUUGGGCACUCUAAUGAGACUGCCGGUGACAAACCGGAGGAAGGUGGGGAUGACGUCAAGUCCUCAUGGCCCUUAUAGGUGGGGCUACACACGUCAUACAAUGGCCGGUACAGAGGGUAGCCAACCCGCGAGGGGGAGCCAAUCCCACAAAGCCGGUCGUAGUCCGGAUCGCAGUCUGCAACUCGACUGCGUGAAGUCGGAAUCGCUAGUAAUCGCGGAUCAGCAUGUCGCGGUGAAUACGUUCCCGGGUCUU
rnacentral:rRNA from 1 species